rnacentral:rRNA from 1 species
GACGAACGCUGGCGGCGUGGAUUAGGCAUGCAAGUCGAACGGUAGGAUACCUUCGGGUAUCUGAGAGUGGCGAACGGGUGAGUAACACGUAGGUGAUCUACCCUCAAGAUUGGGACAACCCAGGGAAACUUGGGCUAAUACCGGAUGAAAGCAGCAGUGAUGUUGUUUGAAAGGUGGCGUAAGCUGCCGUUUGGGGAUGAGCCUGCGCUCUAUUAGUUAGUUGGUGAGGUAACGGCUCACCUAGGCAAUGAUAGGUAGGCGGCCUUAACGGGUGGUCGCCCACACUGGGAUUGAGAUACGGCCCAGACUCCUACGGGAGGCAGCAGUCGAGAAUAGUCUACAAUGGCCGAAAGGCUGAUAGUGCGACGCCGCGUGAACGAAGAAGCCCUUCGGGGUGUAAAGUUCUUUUAUAUGUGAGCAGUGCUUUCUAUGUGAACAGCAUGGGGAGAGAGAUAUUAGCAUAUGAAUAAGCAACGGCUAACUCCGUGCCAGCA